AUGCACGCUGGCGGCGUGCCUAAUACAUGCAAGUCGAGCGAACAGACGAGGAGCUUGCUCCUCUGACGUUAGCGGCGGACGGGUGAGUAACACGUGGAUAACCUACCUAUAAGACUGGGAUAACUUCGGGAAACCGGAGCUAAUACCGGAUAAUAUAUUGAACCGCAUGGUUCAAUAGUGAAAGACGGUUUUGCUGUCACUUAUAGAUGGAUCCGCGCCGCAUUAGCUAGUUGGUAAGGUAACGGCUUACCAAGGCAACGAUGCGUAGCCGACCUGAGAGGGUGAUCGGCCACACUGGAACUGAGACACGGUCCAGACUCCUACGGGAGGCAGCAGUAGGGAAUCUUCCGCAAUGGGCGAAAGCCUGACGGAGCAACGCCGCGUGAGUGAUGAAGGUCUUCGGAUCGUAAAACGCUGUUAUUAGGGAAGAACAAAUGUGUAAGUAACUAUGCACGUCUUGACGGUACCUAAUCAGAAAGCCACGGCUAACUACGU
rnacentral:rRNA from 1 species